rnacentral:rRNA from 1 species
AUUGAACGCUGGCGGCAGGCUUAACACAUGCAAGUCGAACGAGCGGCGGACGGGUGAGUAAUGUCUGGGAAACUGCCUGAUGGAGGGGGAUAACUACUGGAAACGGUAGCUAAUACCGCAUACCAUCAGAUGUGCCCAGAUGGGAUUAGCUAGUAGGUGGGGAAAUGGCUCACCUGGGCGACGAUCCCUAGCUGGUCUGAGAGGAUGACCAGCCACACGGGAACUGAGACACGGUCCAGACUCCUACGGGAGGCAGCAGUGGGGAAUAUUGCACAAUGGGCGAAAGCCUGAGGCAGCCAUGCCGCGUGUAUGAAGAAGGCCUUCGGGUUGUAAAGUACGUUCAGCGGGGAGGCGUUACCCGCAGAAGAAGCACCGGCUAACUCCGUGCCAGCAGCCGCGGUAAUAC